rnacentral:tRNA from 1 species
UCCCGAGUAGCUCAAUGGCAGAGCGGCGCGCUGUUAACGCGUAGGUUGUCGGUUCGAGUCCGACCUCGGGAGCCA